UGGGGGGGUUACCCAUUGGUUUUCGGACCCUAGAGCGGCGCACGGGUGACUCUUUUUAUGCCCCUACCUUUUACAGGGGGAUAGCCCAGGGAAACUUGGAUUAAUACCCCCUAGUACUAUGAGAUCGCAUGGUUUUAUAGUUAAAGUUCCGGCGGUAAAAGAUGGGCAUGCGUGACAUUAGUUAGUUGGCGGGGUAACGGUUCACCAAGACGACGAUGUCGAGGGGUUCUGAGAGGAUGAUCCCCCUUACUGGUACUGAGACAUGGACCAGACUCCUACGGGAGGCAGCAGUGAGGAAUAUUGGUCAAUGGGCGCAAGCCUGAACCAGCCAUCCCGCUUGAAGCAUGAAGGUCCUAUGGAUUGUAAACUUCUUUUCUGUGCGAAGAAAUUCCGCAUGUGUGGUGUAUUGACGGCAGUACAGGAAUAAGCAUCGGCGAACUCGUGCCAGCAGCCCGCGGGAAUAGGAAGACUGCAACCGUUAUCCGGAUUUCUUUGGGGUUUAAAGGGGGGGAGAAGGGGGGCCCCUAUAAAGUGCAGAGGGUGAAAAUCCUGCCCGCCCUUAACGGUUCCAACGUGGCCAUUGGAUACUGUAAGGGCCUUUGGUUACUGUCCUGAUGGGUAGGGCGGAAUGUGUUGUGUAGCGGUGAAAUGCUUAGAUAUGACACAGAACACCGAUUGCGAAGGCAGCUUACCAAGCCAUAACUGACGCUGAGGCACGAAAGCGUGGGGAGCGAACAGGAUUAGAUACCCUGGUAGUCCACGCCUUAAACGAUGUUCACUCGCUGUUUGCGAUAUACAGCAAGCGGCCAAGCGAAAGCAUUAAGUGAACCACCUGGGGAGUACGUCGGCAACGGUGAAACUCAAAGGAAUUGACGGGGGCCCGCACAAGCGGAGGAACAUGUGGUUUAAUUCGAUGAUACGCGGGGAACCUUACCUGGGCUUAAAUGUAGGUUGCAUGUAGUGGAAACACUCUUCCUUCGGGGCUACUUACAAGGUGCUGCAUGGUGUCGUCAGCUCGGGCCGUGAGGUGUCGGGUUAAGUCCCACAACGAGCGCAACCCCUAUCGUUAGUUGCCAUCAGGUAAUGCUGGGAACUCUAGCGAGACUGCCACCGUAAGGUGAGAGGAAGGUGGGGAUGACGUCAAAUCAGCACGGCCCUUAUGUCCAGGGCUACACACGUGUUACAAUGGCCGGUACAAAGGGCAGCUACACCGCGAGGUGAUGCUAAUCUCGAAAGCCGGUCUCAGUUCGGAUCGGAGUCUGCAACUCGACUCCGUGAAGUUGGAUUCGCUAGUAAUCGCGCAUCAGCCAUGGCGCGGUGAAUACGUUCCCGGGCCUUGUACACACCGCCCGUCAAACCAUGGAAGCUGGGGGUACCUGAAGUCUGUGACCGCAAGGAGCGGCCUAGGGGAAAAUCCU
rnacentral:rRNA from 1 species